AGCAGUCGCCGCGGGAAAACGAAGGGGGCUAGCGUUGUUCGGAAUCACUGGGCGUAAAGCGCACGUAGGCGGAUCAUUAAGUCAGGGGUGAAAUCCCGAGGCUCAACCUCGGAACUGCCUUUGAUACUGGUGAUCUUGAGUCCGGGAGAGGUGAGUGGAACUGCGAGUGUAGAGGUGAAAUUCGUAGAUAUUCGCAAGAACACCAGUGGCGAAGGCGGCUCACUGGCCCGGAACUGACGCUGAGGUGCGAAAGCGUGGGGAGCAAACAGGAUUAGAUACCCCUGUAGUCCCUGUCUCUUAUAC
rnacentral:rRNA from 1 species